AUAUCACAUCAAAAGGCCAAUCAUCACAAAUGUUCAUUCCCCAGCAGUCAAUUCUGUUAAAUAAUAACGAGUAACGAGCGAAUGGUGAAUUCCCUACUAGCCAAUUAUAAGCUCUGUAAAUGACCGUAUCGAGCAUCAUACAAAAAUCAAAAUGCUCCUUCUCUAUGUUGUAAGUUCUCUGCCUCAACUCAGCGCUUUUACUCGUUUUUAUGCAUGAGACCCAUUAUAUCAAGGUUAUUAUGCAGUACAUGUCUUUUGCAUAGUAAUCACCACCUGCUAGAAAUCUUGGACCUAGCGUUCCAAAAAAGUCUUUAAAUUCGCAGAAUAAUUUUCAUCUUUGCUUUCAUCCAUAUUGCUGAUUAUUUUAAGUACAAGAUUUUUCCGAAAAGUUGAUCCAUUGGUUGUAAUACAGAUGUCGUAUUUGGUGGAAGGAAAACUAAUGUGAUAUUUGUUAGGUCACUAAUUUGGGGAUGGGCUGGAUAAUUCUAGCAAUAUCUUCCUUUUUCUGCUUUUUAAGCUCAGCAUCCCAAUCCUAGGUCGCUUUGAAUUUCCAAUAACCAGUCAAUGCUUUUUAAUAUUACCAUCCAUAUUGGCUGCAACAAGCACAGUUAUCCUUUCCUUUCCUUCCAGUGCAUUUUUCACCUAUAAAUUAAAAUUUCAAUAAACAGAUAUCUUAAAAAUAAUUUUCCUUCUCACCUUUAAAUUAUGUGUUCUCUGGAGUUCAUUUGUAGAAUAGUCCAGUUUCGUCGGCAUUAAAAAUUUCCUCAUCAGUGAAAUCUUUUCAUAGUAUAGGCCAAACCUUUGUAAGUCACUCGCUAACAUCGAUUUUUUGUACAGACAAAGAUUCUCCACUGAAUAUACCGCCGACAAUAUUAUGCCUGACUUUAAAGCGGCUUAUCAAACUCACAGUACAAUUAAAAUUUUCAAUUUUAAAUUGCUUAGCGAAAAAAUUUGCUUUUUCUUGAAGCAGUGGACCACUUAAUGGGAUUCCUCGACUGCGUUGCAAUAUGAACCACUGUAACAAUGCUUUGUCCACUUGAUCUUGAGUUGAAGCUCUGACGCGUUUUGGUUUUAAGAUAUUACUAUUAAAUAACGUUUUAAUUGUUUCUUUAUUUUUUUUUGAUUGUGGCAAUUGUUGUGUUGGCACUCUUUUGCCAGAGUAACGUUGCGCUCACCGGCUUCCAGGCGCCGAAUAAUUUGCAUUUUUUCUUCAACAGAGAAGCACUUUCGUUUUUGAGACAUUUUGCGGGUGUAAUGCACAAGUGGCGAGCUUAAACUGAAUGACUUCCUUAUUGCGCAUUUUGUGCAUUUUGCGCAUUAACUCAAAUUUGGCGAAUUUACGCAUUCAAAAAAAUGGAAAAUUGGAAAAAAGCAGAAAAAACUAGAAAUAUAACGGAACAUCCUAUCGAAUAGGCUAUGUGGUCUGCACACGCACGAUGUAAACAUUUAUGUGACGUCAGCAUUGCACUUCGACUAUAUCUCUCUAGCAGCAGCAAUGCUAAGACGACGGCUAAAAUGACAGAGAGUAGUGAGAGUGUAAGAGUCUUCGUGUCGCUGCUACGCACACUAGCAAGGGUGCCGAUCACUGAUAAAUACAUACAUUUCUAAUUUCUGAAAAAUUUCGUCGAUAUAAGCGGUUAAGCUGAAACGACAUAGCUCGAGAAUGCGAAUGCGAAAGAAUGCGCUCGACUGAGUUAUUUCGAGCAACUACAUAAAUGCGCUUUUGAAUGCGUUGACAGUUGUAUUCAGUGAUGCACGAGUGACACACGUACACAUUUUUGAUUUGUGAAUUUUAUAACGAACUAAAUAUAAUGGAGGACGAUUUUGAGUUUUUAUUACUGAUUAUGUGCAGUGUUGUUGUGGUGUAUAUGGAAUACAUAAAAUUAAACAAAAGAAAAAAAAUGUGGACACGUGAGUUGUACCUGGAACGCGAAAAAAUGGUUUUUUGCUACAACUUUUACAUUAUUAAAAACUCGAGAUAAAGAACAGUUUCGUUUGGCGACACGUAUGAGACCAGAAAUAUUCGACGUCCUUUUUAAUAUGCUGAAAGAACAGUUGGAGAAAAAUUCCUGGCGCCCCUCUAUACCAGCAGAAUGCAGAUUAUUCCUCACACUAAUAUAUUUGGCACAUGGUCCUAGUAGGCAAUAUUUGUCUCUUAACAUUUAGGAUGUCAGUGGAAGUUAUAAGAAGGAUUGUGGUAGAAACUUGCGAAAUAAUUUGGAACACUUUAAGCCAGUUUUACUUAUCUCAACCAAAUGAAGAAGAGUGGAGAAGAAUAGCGGAAGACUUCAAAAAUAUUUGGAAUUUACCAAACUGUGUUGGAGCUAUAGAUGGAAAGCAUGUCCCAAUAACAUGUCCCGCUAAAUCCGGUUCUAACUUUUAUAAUUAUAAAGGAACGUACAGUAUUGUGUUACUUAGUAUUUGUGAUCCAAAUUAUACAUUUACUGCUGUGGAAGUCGGUGCAUAUGGCAGUCAAAACGACGGAGUUAUUUUAUUAAAUUCCUUGAAGUGAAUCCGUUACGAAACAUUUCACGAUUAUCAUCAAAUAAUUCCGUUAGAUCUGCAUACCAAUUGCGUGACAUCCUAAAAGAAUAUGUUUUCGCAAAUAAAACAUGAAACGACUAAAUAAAAAUAGACCAAAAACCUUAUAAAUAAAAACAUAUCAUUAUAAUUCAAAAUAUUUUAUGAAGCAUUUAUUUAAUUCAAACAUAAUAAAGAAGAAGUAUAUU